GCCUGGAGCCUACUUCCGAUUCUGUGUUUCUCUCUCUCUCUGCCCCUCCCCAUUCAUGCUGUGUCUCUCUCUGUCUCAAAAAUAAAUAAAUGUUAAAAAAAUUUUUUUAAAAUACCCUGCUUAAGAUUAUAUCAUAUUAAUCAGUUUCUACUUAUAUUUUCAUGACAAGGGAAGGGAAUUGGGAAGAGCUACACACCAGGAGGAUCUUCCUAUGGCAUUGACAACUAGAAAUAAUAUACUUUCUACUGCAUCUUUUUAUGAAUAGCUAUUGGGAGUUUUAGCCAUACUUGGAUGUUCAAAGUAAGUCCACAGCUCCUCACUUAAGAACUGGAAGGUAUGAGAUGUCAGGAUGUUUCAGGAAACCAAGUGUGCCAUCUGCAAGAAGAAAAUUAUAGCUCCAAGGAGAGAUGAGCCCUGCCUUCAAGUCAUGAAGAAUAUUUUGGAUGAAACAUCUGCAGAGGGCCUGGAAGACUCACUGUGUAAAGCUGGAGGGACAGCUCUAGGAAUAACUGGAAAUGGAUGAUACCACCUUUCUUAGUGUAUGGUAUGGGAAAAAUGGUUCUAUCCUCUCUAUACUACCAUUCCUAACGUCAUUCAGGCCUUGUGCAUGUACCCCUCAUUAGUUGAUAGUCACUGGUUUGUGCGAUUUAACAUGAAGAUGUACUUUCAAAAAGUAGUUUAUGACUGAUUUAUAGAUUAGAAUUUCUGUUUUCUUAAUACAUUCAAUAAAAAUAUGACCGACUGCA